CUUUGAGAACUGACCGACAUCCCAGGUUAGUACUUUGUGUGUGCUUGUGCUUAUCCACCUUUGCUUUUAAAAUAGAUUUCAGUCACAUUAUUUCUGCCUUUGUGUUAUCUUGUAUUAUGAGUAUGAAUUAAUUCAGAUGUCACUCAGUUCUGAAGAAAAGUGCUUUUGCAAAUACUCCUGAUAAGUUAUUUGGAAUAGAUUCCAAAUUCUUUUUUUUUUUUUUCGUUUAUUUGAAGGAGGAAUAUAUUUUGGAACUACAAGGGAAGAAAUAACAGUUUUGUUCUCUGGAGUAAAGGAAUUAUGUGACUGGAUUGAUUAUAAAUGCAAUGCAAGGCAGGGUAGAGUUAUUUGUGCAGCAUCUUUAAAUCAAAAAGAAAUCUUGAGCUUGUUGUGGGUAUGUGCAUAGAUGAAUAAAUACACUGACUUAGGGAAAAACUGCAUUUUGACUGUUUAGUGCUCUUUGUGGGGCAACAAAAGUAUGUAUCCACUUCAUAAACUAUCUCAAUCUUUCUUUGACAGCAUCCAGGCAACAGAUCAGUGCCACUCAGUUUAGAUAAGCUGAGGUAAUGCUUGCCACAGUAAUAUAAUUCUUAGAAAUUGUAAGAAUUAUACUAAAAAUACAAUAAAUUUGAAGUCCUUCUCUCUCUUUUUCCUUUACAGUCCCCUAUAAAGUGCCACCAUGAGUUCAGACGCUGAAAUGGCCCAGUAUGGGCCUGCAUCCAUUUUUCUCCGCAAGCCUGAGAGGGAGAGGAUUGAGGCUCAGAACACUCCAUUUGAUGCUAAAACAGCUUUCUUUGUGGUCGAUGUUGAGGAGAUGUACCUCAAAGGCAAGCUUGUCAAGAAGGAGGGGGGCAAAGCCACAGUUGAGACACUUAUAGGACACAAGGUAGAGGAUUGACACUUAUUUUCAUGUUGUUAACAGUGAGUAACAUUCUUAAUGUAAGAUUUACUAUAUUUUUCCCAAGUAAAUUGAACUGUUUUUUUACUUUACUUUUCUUUAGAGUCUCACUGUAAAAGAGGAUGACAUCCAUCCCAUGAAUCCUCCAAAGUUUGACAAAAUUGAGGACAUGGCCAUGAUGACCCACCUCAAUGAGCCUUGUGUGCUGUAUAACCUCAAAGAGCGUUAUGCAUCAUGGAUGAUCUACGUAAGUUUUCUGAAUAAUCCACUCGAUGAAUCCAAGUAUUUACAUGAAUUUGACCAUAAUCAUAUGUUAACAUUAUGUUUGUACUCUACAGACCUACUCUGGCCUGUUCUGUGUCGUUGUGAAUCCCUACAAGUGGCUUCCAGUGUACGAUGCUCAGGUUGUUGGGGCAUACAGAGGAAAGAAGAGAGUUGAGGCUCCACCCCACAUCUUCUCCAUCUCUGACAAUGCCUAUCAGUUCAUGCUCACUGGUAAGACAAUCUAUUUUGAAAAGAGAGACAGCUGACGGCUGUAAUUGAACAUAGAACGGCAGUUCCUGACAUUUUCUGUUUUUGCUUUGUUAUUUUCAGAUCGUGAGAACCAGUCUAUUCUUAUCACGUGAGUGAGAUAAUGUUUACCCAACAACAUUUGAAGAAUGUUAAUAAGGUUGAAAUAUUGAACUAUUUCUCUUGCUUCCCCCAGUGGAGAAUCCGGUGCCGGAAAGACUGUAAACACCAAGCGUGUCAUCCAGUACUUCGCAACAAUUGCAGUCGCUGGGGCUAAGAAGGCCGAGACACCUGGCAAAAUGCAGGUAAAAACCAUCACCUUUGGUGAAAAACAAAAGAUAAUAAUUAUCAAAAAAAAAACAGCAACAUGCAUUUCAAAUUCUUCCUGCAGGGUUCGCUGGAGGAUCAAAUCAUUGCAGCCAACCCUCUGCUGGAGGCUUAUGGUAAUGCCAAGACUGUGAGGAAUGACAACUCCUCUCGUUUUGUAAGUCCUAAAAGUAGAAAUUCUAGCAUGAAGUAUGAAAUUUCUAUGUAUCCACAUUGAUACAUCACAACUGAAAAAAAUCUGAUCUGAUUUGUGCAGGGUAAAUUCAUCAGAAUUCACUUCGGGACCACAGGCAAACUUGCUUCAGCUGACAUUGAAACAUGUGAGUAAUUUCUCUGUUAAGUUCAGUCACCAAUCUUUAAAUAUAAACUUGUAUUAGAAAAGGAGUUUAAGAAACAUUUGCUGACACAUUGUGAUCAGGACUUAAUUUGUUGUUCUAAGAUCUGCUGGAGAAGUCCCGUGUAACCUUCCAGUUGUCUGCUGAGAGGAGCUACCAUAUCUUCUACCAGCUGAUGACAGGCCACAAGCCCGAGCUCCUGGGUAUGUGUAAUAGAUGGUAUCUGACAUACUUAAAAGAAUAUCACCGGAAAACUUCAUGUGCUGUGUUUCUUGAUUUUCAGAGGCCCUUCUGAUCACCACCAACCCCUAUGACUACCCAAUGAUCAGCCAGGGUGAAAUCACUGUCAAAAGCAUUGAUGAUAUUGAGGAGUUCGUUGCUACUGAUGUAAGACUACUAUCUAGUAAUAUAGAUGAUAUACAGAGGAAAAGGUUUUAGAUACCAAUCACUUUUCUUUCUACACAUUGCAGACUGCUAUUGAUAUUUUGGGCUUCACUGCUGAAGAGAAAAUUGGUAUCUACAAACUGACUGGGGCUUCGAUGCAUCAUGGCAACAUGAAAUUCAAGCAGAAGCAGCGCGAGGAGCAGGCUGAGCCUGAUGGCACUGAGGGUAAUUCCUACAAUAAUGCAUUGUGAUCAUGUAAGUAUCCUGAUACGUAGAGUUUGCUUACACAAGGUAAUGUGUAUUUGUGUUUUUGUUCAUUUCUCUAUCAGUGGCUGAUAAAAUCGCCUACCUCUUGGGUCUGAACUCAGCUGAUAUGCUGAAGGCUCUGUGCUACCCGAGAGUCAAGGUCGGAAAUGAGAUGGUGACCAAAGGUCAGACCGUCCCACAGGUAAUGAAAAAAUGAACUAAACAACAAAUAUACCAUUAUUCAUUCAAGGUUGUAUAUUCCUCUUAUUAAUUGUAUAUCUUUUCCUUAUUUCAAGGUCAACAAUUCUGUCAUGGCUCUGUGCAAGUCUAUCUAUGAGAAAAUGUUCUUGUGGAUGGUCAUCCGUAUCAAUGAGAUGCUGGACACAAAGCAGCCAAGACAGUACUUCAUUGGCGUCUUGGAUAUUGCUGGUUUUGAGAUCUUUGAUGUGAGUUGUUAAAAACUAUUGAAGUAGAUUUUAUUUUUCUUGAAUUUCGAUGGAUAUAAUAUAUAUUUUUUAAAAUACAGUUCAACAGCUUGGAGCAGCUCUGCAUCAACUUCACCAAUGAGAAACUGCAACAGUUCUUCAACCACCACAUGUUCGUCCUGGAACAAGAGGAGUACAAGAAAGAGGGUAUUGAAUGGGAGUUCAUUGACUUCGGUAUGGACUUGGCUGCCUGCAUUGAGCUUAUUGAGAAGGUAAGUAAAACUGUCUUGUAAAACUUUAGUUUGAUGGAACAGCUGUUCAGUGAUUAAUUCUUUUCAAUGUGACAAAUUGUUUUCCUAAGCCAAUGGGCAUCUUCUCCAUCCUUGAAGAGGAGUGCAUGUUCCCCAAGGCCUCUGACACAACUUUCAAGAACAAGCUGCAUGAUCAGCAUCUUGGCAAGACCAAGGCCUUUGAGAAACCAAAGCCUGGAAAGGGCAAAGCUGAGGCUCACUUCGCCCUGGUUCACUAUGCCGGCACAGUGGAAUACAAUAUUGUUGGCUGGCUGGACAAGAACAAGGACCCCCUGAACGACUCUGUUGUUCAGCUCUACCAGAAGUCUUCCAACAAACUGCUGGCCAUGCUUUAUGCAGCCCACGGUGGAGAAGGUAAGAUUGCAUAACUGUUGAAAAUAACAGUAAUCUAGUCAUUUAUAACAAAAAGAUUUUGGAUAUGGAUGAUAAGUACAAAAAAAGGUCGUUUAGUGGUAUUUUUGUAGUUUUCAUCCAAAACAGAAACCUCUAGUUAGAAUUCAAAAGAAAACUGAGUAAGGGAUGAUAGCUUCUUCCCAAACUUGCUUAACAUUAUCUUAUUCCAAGACAGGAACAUGGAUGCAUUCACCAGAAAAUCAGUAAACCAGUAAAAUCAUGUUAUCAUGUAAAAUCAUGUGAAUUCUUUCUUUUGCUCUCAAACAGAGGCUGCUGGUGCCAAAAAGGGUGGUAAGAAGAAGGGUGGCUCCUUCCAGACCGUGUCUGCUCUCUUCAGGGUAAUUACUGCUUCAUGUCAAAAGAAAACAAUAGUAAAAUGAAAAACCUCGUGUUGACAUAAAGUUCAUAUUUAUUUCUGUCAUACUGAUAACCAGGAGAACUUGGGCAAGCUGAUGACCAACCUGAGGAGCACUCACCCUCACUUUGUGCGCUGCUUGAUUCCCAAUGAAACUAAGACUCCAGGUAAGCCCAUAGUGCUGCCAUUCUAUUCUUUUUUGAGAAUGACACACACUAAAGCUGUGAUCUUUGAAUGAUAUGAAUUUAUAUCUUUUAGGUCUUAUGGAGAACCACCUGGUCAUCCACCAGCUGAGGUGUAACGGUGUGCUGGAGGGCAUCAGAAUUUGCAGAAAGGGCUUCCCCAGCAGAAUCCUCUAUGGUGACUUCAAGCAGAGGUAACUUUUCGGGGUAGAAUCAUGAGAUUGAGAAAUGGCAACGGUGCAAAGUUAAUAUAUUAAAAAUUAUGUUUUUCAAUCUUAUAGAUACAAAGUACUGAAUGCCAGUGUCAUCCCUGAGGGUCAGUUCAUUGACAAUAAAAAAGCUUCUGAGAAGCUGCUGGGCUCCAUCGAUGUGGACCACACUCAGUACAAGUUUGGACACACUAAGGUUCGUUUUCAUAGGCAACAAUAUUUCACUAGCUGUGGCAUAGUACAUGCUGUUGCUUAUAUCUUCACUAAUAACACAACACAGGUGUUCUUCAAAGCCGGUCUGCUGGGUACCCUGGAGGAGAUGAGAGAUGAGAAACUGGCUGAGCUGGUGACCAUGACUCAGGCUCUCAGCAGAGGAUAUGUCAUGAGGAAGGAGUUUGUGAAGAUGAUGGAGAGGAGGUAGGCUUUUUAGGGGCACACUUACUCUAACUGCCAAAUUAUUUGCAGGUAUUUUUCAACUGCAGUCAUGUUAAAGAAUUGGCACUUUUCCCUUUUUGCAGAGAAUCUAUCUACUCCAUCCAGUACAACAUCAGAUCCUUCAUGAAUGUGAAGAAUUGGCCAUGGUUGAAACUCUACUUCAAGAUCAAGCCUCUCCUGAAGAGUGCUGAGACUGAGAAAGAGCUGCAGCAGAUGAAGGAAAACUAUGACAAAAUGAAGUCAGACCUGGCUACUGCCCUGGCCAAGAAGAAGGAACUUGAGGAAAAGAUGGUUGCCAUGCUGCAGGAGAAGAAUGACCUGCAACUGCAAGUAGCAGCUGUGAGUGCAAAAACAGCCAUUGCACUUUUUUUAACAUAUAGAUUUAGUUAUUUAGUACAAUUUUAAAAUAUGUAUAUAAUUUUAAUUUCCUAAAAUUACUCAAGAAAAUUUACUUAAAAUUACAAAACCAAUGAUAAAAACAAAUUCUAUCUAAAAGUCAAAAUUAAAUGAAUAUAACAAUCUCAAAAUGUACUAUAGGAAGUUGAGAACCUCUCUGAUGCUGAGGAAAGGUGUGAGGGACUCAUCAAGAGCAAGAUCCAGCUCGAGGCCAAACUCAAAGAGACAAGUGAGAGACUGGAGGAUGAAGAGGAAAUCAAUGCUGAGCUGACUGCCAAGAAGAGGAAACUGGAGGAUGAAUGCUCUGAGCUCAAGAAAGACAUUGAUGACUUGGAGCUCACCUUGGCCAAAGUGGAGAAGGAGAAACACGCCACAGAAAACAAGGUUCACAUUAUUUAAGUACAUCCUGGUCAAAAAAUAUAAUCAUACCAUCAAUAAAAGGAAGGAAAUAGAAUGUUUUUAAAAAAUUUCUUCCUUGUUAAGGUGAAAAACCUGACAGAGGAGAUGGCGUCUCAGGAUGAGUCUCUUGCCAAGUUAACAAAGGAGAAGAAAGCCCUCCAAGAGAGCCACCAGCAAACUCUGGAUGAUCUCCAGGCAGAGGAGGACAAAGUCAACACUCUGACCAAAGCCAAGACCAAGCUGGAACAGCAAGUGGACGAUGUAAGACAGUAACUGCUUUUAUGGUUUGACCCAUUAUAACAUGAAUGACUCUUGGCAUUAUUAUCUCUCUUAAGAUAAACUUCAGUUAAUUUUCAUAAUUCUAACUUGAUAGCUUGAAGGAUCUCUGGAACAAGAGAAGAAGCUCCGCAUGGACCUUGAGAGGUCAAAGAGGAAGCUUGAGGGAGAUCUGAAACUGGCCCAGGAAUCCAUAAUGGAUCUGGAAAAUGACAAACAGCAAUCUGAUGAGAAAAUCAAGAAGUAAUUUUUUUGCAUUCUUUUUUUACUUUUAGUUUAGUUUUUACUUUUUCCAUGUUUUUCAGUGAUCUUGACUACUGUCAUCUUGGUGUAUAAUACUGAAAUAUUCUUGUUGUCUUGUACAGGAAGGAGUUUGAGACCAGCCAGCUCCUCAGCAAGAUUGAGGAUGAACAGCUUCUUGGUGCCCAGCUCCAGAAAAAGAUCAAGGAGCUCCAGGUACAUCUUUGAUUUACACAGUGGACCCAGGAUGAUAUAUACAAUACAUUACUUUCCAUUUUGUAAGCCUCUUUGAUAUAUUGUCAUCAACAACUAGGCUCGUAUUGAGGAGCUGGAGGAGGAGAUUGAGGCUGAGAGAGCUGCUCGGGCAAAGGUGGAGAAGCAGAGGGCUGAUCUCUCCAGGGAGCUUGAGGAGAUCAGCGAGAGGCUUGAGGAAGCUGGUGGAGCAACAGCUGCUCAGAUUGAGAUGAACAAGAAGCGUGAGGCUGAGUUCCAGAAGCUGCGUCGUGAUCUUGAAGAGUCCACCCUUCAGCAUGAAGCUACCGCUGCAGCUCUGCGCAAGAAGCAGGCUGACAGUGUUGCAGAGCUGGGAGAGCAGAUCGACAAUCUCCAGCGUGUCAAACAGAAGCUGGAGAAAGAGAAGAGCGAGUACAAGAUGGAGAUUGACGACCUCUCCAGCAACAUGGAGGCUGUUGCUAAAUCCAAGGUGUGGAUUUUGUUUGGGGCAAGGCUAUGUCUAUCAAAUACUAAGAACAGUACAUUCUGACUAAUAUACAGUAUAUAACAGUAACUUUGUAGGGAAAAAAAAGUAUAUUUUAAAUGCCUCAUGUUCUUGUUUGGUGCAGGGCAACUUGGAAAAAAUGUGCAGAACUCUUGAGGAUCAACACAGCGAACUGAAAUCCAAGUAUGAUGAGAAUGUCCGCCAGCUGAAUGACAUUAGUGCACAGAGGGCCAGACUGCAGACAGAGAAUGGUUCGUCACCAGAGCAUCAAUGAUGUAAAAAACUUUUAUGGUUUUAUAGUUUAACCAUGCCUUGUAUACAUUGCCCUUUAGGCGAGUAUUCACGCCAGCUUGAGGAGAAAGAAGCUGUUGUUUCUCAGCUGACAAGGGGCAAGCAAGCCUUUACCCAGCAGAUUGAGGAGCUCAAGAGGCACGUUGAGGAGGAAGUGAAGGUAUUAAAAAACCAAAAUCUUCAAAAAUACACCAGUUCAUGAAAGAAAUACAAUGGCUCAGAUGUGUUUUGUGAUAUAUAGAAAGCAAAUGGUAAUGGAUAAUUUAUUAAGAUCUCAUUAUCAUGACAGGCCAAGAACGCCCUGGCCCAUGCUGUUCAGUCAGCACGCCAUGACAGUGAUCUUCUCAGAGAGCAGUAUGAGGAGGAGCAGGAGGCCAAGGCCGAGCUGCAGAGGGGAAUGUCAAAGGCCAACAGUGAGGUAGCUCAGUGGAGAUCCAAAUAUGAGACUGAUGCUAUCCAGCGCACUGAGGAGCUGGAGGAGGCAAAGUACAUCAAGCAUUUUUGACUAUUUCCCAUUAAAACAGAGACUUUUAAUUUUUCUGUUAUUCCAUUAAGCACAAACAAAACCAUUUUCAUUUCAGGAAAAAGCUUGCCCAGCGUCUGCAGGAUGCUGAGGAAUCCAUUGAGGCUGUGAACUCCAAGUGUGCCUCACUGGAGAAGACCAAGCAGAGGCUGCAGGGUGAGGUGGAGGACCUCAUGAUUGAUGUAGAGAGAGCUAAUUCUCUGGCUGCCAACCUUGACAAGAAGCAGAGGAACUUUGAUAAGGUAAGCAAAUAUCAAGACAUUAUUCAUUGUAAAAAAAAAAAAACAAUGAAAAUCUUUUAAAAAACAGCUGUUAUUACUCAUCAAUAUAUUCCCAGGUUCUGGCAGAAUGGAAACAGAAGUAUGAGGAGGGCCAGGCAGAGCUUGAAGGAGCCCAGAAGGAGGCUCGCUCUCUCAGCACUGAACUGUUCAAGAUGAAGAACUCGUAUGAGGAGGCUCUGGAUCAGCUGGAGACCAUAAAGAGAGAGAACAAGAACCUCCAGCGUAAGUAAACUUUGAAGAUGUGUGAAUGAGAAACAGCGAGUAUAAAGCAGCUCAAAAAUGUUGUUAUGUUAUCUUCUGUAGAGGAGAUCUCUGACCUGACUGAACAGAUUGGAGACACAGGAAAGACCAUCCAUGAGCUGGAGAAAUCAAAGAAGACCACUGAGACAGAGAAGGCUGAAAUUCAGUCAGCACUGGAGGAAGCUGAGGUACACCAGGACUUUAGGAAUUAAAAAGGAUUCUUAGAAACAACACAUAUCAACACAUAACAACACAUACCAGUUGGUUGCAUAGAAAGGGCCAGUCUAACCUUUGUCAUUGCAGGGAUGGGUCUGAUUGAUCCAGCAUUUUUUGCAUAAUUCAGUGUAGGUUUUUUUAAGCAAAUACUGCACCCAAUUUGGUAAUCUAAUCAAUUGUCAUAUUCAAAUAAAGGGUACUCUGGAGCAUGAGGAGGCCAAGAUUCUUCGUGUUCAGCUUGAGCUCAACCAGGUCAAGAGUGAGAUUGACAGGAAGCUGUCAGAGAAGGAUGAGGAGAUGGAGCAGAUCAAGAGGAACAGCCAGAGGGUGAUCGACUCCAUGCAGAGCACUCUUGAUUCUGAGAUCAGGAGCAGGAAUGAUGCCCUGAGAGUCAAGAAGAAGAUGGAGGGUGACCUGAAUGAGAUGGAGAUUCAGCUGAGCCAUGCUAACAGGCAGGCUGCUGAGGCCCAGAAACAACUGAGGAAUGUCCAGGGACAACUCAAGGUGAGUUUUACAUCAUUUUAGGUGAAAAUUUUCAUGAGAAAUAGAAAAAAAAACUUGGCAUAUUUAUUCUUCUAAUGUUUUCAGGAUGCCCAACUUCAUCUUGAUGAUGCCAUCAGAGGACAGGAGGACAUGAAGGAGCAGGUUGCCAUGGUGGAGCGCAGAAAUGGUCUGAUGCUGGCUGAGAUUGAGGAGCUGAGAGUUGCUCUGGAGCAGACAGAGAGAGGACGCAAAGUGGCUGAGCAGGAGUUGGUUGAUGCCAGUGAGCGUGUUGGACUGCUACACACUCAGGUCUGUCAUAACUAUUAAAAAAAAAAAAAAAAACAUUUUUAUAUUGUGUAUUAUCCAUUUGUAUGGCCUUUUUAAAAAUGAAUUAUUCCCAAGAAUGAUAUCCCAUACAAGAGUACAACCACAUAAAUAUUGUCCAAUCUUUUAACACUUAGAACACCAGUCUUAUCAACACCAAGAAGAAGCUGGAGUCUGAUCUGGUCCAGGUUCAGGGUGAGGUGGAUGAUGCUGUUUCAGAGGCUAGAAAUGCUGAGGAGAAAGCCAAAAAGGCUAUAACUGAUGUGAGUUUAGGUUUUUAAUCCUAAUUCCACUACAACAUUUUUAACACACUGUCUAAACUAUAACCCUGUUAUUCUGACCUAUCAACAUCUCAGGCUGCCAUGAUGGCUGAGGAGCUGAAGAAGGAGCAGGACACUAGUGCUCACCUGGAGAGGAUGAAGAAGAACCUGGAGGUCACUGUCAAGGACCUGCAGCACCGUCUGGAUGAGGCUGAGAACCUCGCCAUGAAGGGUGGCAAGAAGCAGCUCCAGAAACUGGAGUCCAGGGUAUGCACCUUAGGAUAAAGUGUAUUUAAAAGAUUCCCUUAUAUCUUCAACAGACUUUUAUUACCUGCAUUAAAUCCCUUGUACUAAACUUGGGUUGUUUAUUAUCACAUUAGGUGCGUGAGCUGGAAACUGAAGUUGAAGGAGAGCAGAGACGUGGUGCUGAUGCUGUGAAGGGAGUCCGCAAAUAUGAGAGGAGAGUGAAGGAGCUGACCUACCAGGUAAUUUAAAAUUAAAAUAAAAUAAAAUAACACGAGUUGUAUAUAUUUGUACAAAUCAUUGCUCACAAUUUGUUUUUCCAUGUAGACUGAGGAAGACAAGAAGAAUGUGUUCAGACUUCAGGAUUUGGUGGACAAACUGCAGCUUAAAGUCAAAGCCUACAAGAGACAGGCUGAGGAGGCUGUAAGUACAACUACAAAAUAUGGCCUGUAAUUUUCAGCAGUACCACUAAAAAUAUGGCAAGACUGAUUUAAUUCCAAACCCCUCACAGGAGGAACAAGCCAACACUCACAUGUCCAGGCUGAGGAAAGUUCAGCAUGAGAUGGAGGAAGCUCAAGAGCGUGCUGACAUUGCUGAGUCCCAGGUCAACAAGCUGAGAGCCAAGAGCCGUGAUAUUGGAAAGGUAUGUUUAUUGUUAUAUCAAUGGUGCUAACACUGUAAGUCAUUACAGGCUGAGUUAAUAAGCUAAUUGACAGCUAAUGGCAUAAAUCAAUAUCACAUGCAAAAUAGUACCCAAUGCAUUUUGAAUUUCCAUUUUUAUAUGAUACUUGGAAAAGAAACCUUUAAUGAAACUACGAAACAGAUUUUUGGUUAAGAGUCUUGCUACAAUAACUACUUUUCCUUUCUAUUUUCAGUCGGAGUCUGAAUAAGGAGUCCUGAUGAGGAGUCCUCAUCAAGUUGAAGCCUUUAAACAGUUCAUAAAAUAUGAACCUGUCAUUGGGAACUGUACAGCAUUUCAAUAAAGAUGAAAAUCAUCUUUAUACUGAAUCCUGUCAAUUUUUUCUUUCUGGUAACUAUUUCACUUAAAUGCCUUGAAAAAAAUCCUAAAAGAAACAGAGCAUUUACCUUUCUCGGUAGUCUACACCAGCAGCAGCAACAUUGAUGCCACUGUGUGAAGUAAAGAUGUUUAACUGAAAUGACAAGGAA